rnacentral:lncRNA from 1 species
ACAAUAUUCGUUAUUAUGGCGGUAGCAUCUUCCUAUCUUAAAAAAAAAAAUCGGAAAAUUCUUUUGAAUUUUAAUUUGUAUAAAUGCAUUAAAAAUUGGUGGAAAUUAUUAUUAAAUUUUACAUUUUUAUCGUUUAAAACUUUAUGUAAGUAGUUUUAUGUUCUCCAAUCUGGCUAAUGGAUGCGCGAGUGUGUAUAUGGACACCGUCUUCCCAGUUUUUGCAUCCUAAUCCACACUAACACUUCUACAUACAGUAUUUAGUUUAUAAAGUAUUUUUAAUCUGAUAAUGUUUCCCCAAACAGUUCCAUUUAUCAAUAAUAAAGAUUCAAAACUUUCGAAAACACUACUCACUUUCAAAAUGGUUUCUUCUUUCCCGGAGGCCCACUCUGAAAAAUAAAUAUAAUGGAUCUAUAGUUUUCACUAUGUUUAUUUUCUAUGGCUAUACGGUUUAUAUAUAAAAUCAUAGAAAGAUAAAAAAAUCUUUUAAAACAAAUGAAAAUUCUACUUAAAUAUAUUCCUACAUUCGGGUUAAAAUUCAUACGGCAGUCGAUAAUCUUACUUAGGUUUGAUAUCAAAACAAAAGGAUUUAGAUGUAGGUAUGUAAGCUAAUUUUAUUUUUUAUCAAUAGCGUUAAUUAUAAAUUAAUUAAGGAAUUAAAAAAAAACGUGGUGGUGAUCUACCGCGUCGUCGAUUGUCUUAUCGAUAAUUACGCGCGUAGAAGUGUGAAGACCGGUGCCAGAAGCGCGGACCAAACGUGACGUACACUCAAAUUAUUUCCCUUUAGUAAUAUUAAGAAAAUUUAAGCAAAAAUAUGCCCGGUAUAUUGGUUUAUUUACAAAUUUAUAUAAAAGGAGCCAAGUUACUCCAGCCGCCUAUAACAAUACUGUACUGUAGAAUUUAAAGCUAAAAAUAAGGAUGAGUCCAUUCGAUGUCCGUAAAUAACUUUAAAAAAGGUCGCUCAACAGUGGUAUUAAUAAAAAACAAUCAUUAUUUACUUGGUGGCGAUAAGUGUCCACGUGUGAUCUACAUCUACCAAACGACUGCAGGAAGUGACUCAUCGUCACGUGACUCCGUUUCCGGGUGACUCCCUCUCGAAGGUUUUAUCCAACCAGCCGGGUAUUUACAAAUCACGCAAUACGGUCCAAAAUUGUUAAACAAAAUUAAUAUUUCAUAUUGGAUCAUAUUUAUUCUUUACUCGGAUCCUUCGAUUAAACGAGGCAUCAGUCGAUAAUUUGGUAGGGAAAAGAAAGGUGUUUUUAGUUUUGUAAAUUAAAAUAUAAUUCUUGGUUGGCACAGGUGCAUUAGGGUACUAGAAAAAAAAAAACAGGUUUUAUCAGCAGAUUUAUGUUUUCGAAGCUCGUUUUAAUAAUUAUAUAGAAUAUAUACUAAUUCGGAAUGUGUUGAUUGAAUGAAGAGGAGAAGGAAAGCGGCGAAUAUGCCUGGAAGAAACGAAGCCAAAGAAUGUGUUUAGUUGUUUAGUUCUUUUAAAAUUAUGCAAAGUAUCGAAUGUAUAUACAUGGAAGAUUAUUUUCUUACAAUGUUACGGUUUCUCCAGACUUUGGUUAUUAGCGUGUCGACUGGUAAGUUUCUUUUUGCAAAGUUUUUUACUGGCCUCGGGUGCUCAUUAGCUUUCAAAGAUAGCUCAGACAUUCCGGGUUGUUGUAGUGUUUAACGGAAUUCCGAGAAAUUAAUUCCAACGCCAGACGAAUUUGUCGGAAGAAAAGGUGGUUUAUUGGCCAAGGGUUUCCGCUUUCUACGUACAAAAGGGGGGAAAAGAGAGUUAUCCGAGCGUGUUAGAAAAGAGGGAAAUCAGCUUAGAGUGGUUAAGUACCACAGACAUGUCUCGGCGCGUACAGAAAUUUGUAAUUCGUCUCCCUAAUUAGAUGCGUUUCGCUCCAAAAACUCGAUCUCAUCGAAAACCCGGUGAGUUGUGUGUUACAAAACUACGUUAAUUCAUCAGAGCAAAACAGGAAAACUUUAUUAUAAAAUAGAAAAGACAGAGUUGGCAACACUUAUAACGCGUAGCCAAAGUUUAAAAUAUGUUUUUCCUCUCCGGAGAUUUAUGGCCAAGUUGGCGCGAAUUAAUCUUUGAUGCGUUUCAACAAAACACGAUACGUCACGAGAGGAGGGAGAUCACCGGCAUCGAGAUGAGCAUUCCUUCCGUAAUUUCCUCUUCUUUUUUUUUUUGCUUUUAUAUAUAUAUAUAUUUUUUUCUGGUGUUGGAAAUUCGGCCGAAACCAACUUCAUCGCCAAGAAAAACAAGGGAUAAGUUUCUGCUGUAGAGAAAAAACUUUCAUCUGGCCAAAUCCCGACGGAGAAACGGGUAGACAGAUAAAAAAAAAAAUGGCCGACGGAAGAGAGCGAGAGAGAGAAAUAAUUUACGGAAAUAACAACCGCCGUGUCUCUAGGGUAGAGUCGAACAAUUUAUCAUAUUCCCGUUAUCUGUCACGAAGGAUCGACUGAGACUAAAUAGAAUUAGUGGACGAUCUCUCUUUAAAGUCGGGGGACUGGCAGUGGAGAGGGGCUUGGAUUGUUUCCGAUUCCUUCCACUCUUGUUUGUUCGCUCCACUUCCGUUCAGUUCCCCGUACGGUUAACUAAGCUCAAAGGUCGGAUAAUCCCGAUAGAUAAUCCUGCUGUAAUCUUGUCUCCUUGGCUAUAAAACCGCUAACCUUUGAUUAAACAAAUUAAUACAAUACGAGUACUGAUCUCAAAUUCCGUUAUUGUUUUAAUAAUAAUAAUAAUAAUAAUAAUUUGUUCAUCUCUUGUUGUCGUCUGGC